rnacentral:rRNA from 1 species
CAAUAGCGUAUAUUAAAGUUGUUGCGGUUAAAAAGCUCGUAGUUGGAUUUCUGCUGAGAACGACCGGUCCGCCCUUUGGGUGUGUAUCUGGCUCUUUCUUGGCAUCUUCUUGGUGAACGUUGCUGCACUUGACUGUGUGGAGCGCUACCCAGGACUUUUACUUUGAGGAAAUUAGAGUGUUUCAAGCAGGCAUACGCCUUGAAUACAUUAGCAUGGAAUAAUAAGAUAGGACCUCGGUUCUAUUUUGUUGGUUUCUAGAGCUGAGGUAAUGAUUAAUAGGGAUAGUUGGGGGCAUUCGUACUAACGCGUCAGAGGUGGAAUUCUUGGAUUGCGUUAUGACGAACUACUGCGAAAGCAUUUGCCAAGGAUGUUUUCAUUGA